CCUACGGGGCGCUGCAGUGGGGAAUAUUGGACAAUGGGCGAAAGCCUGAUCCAGCCAUGCCGCGUGUGUGAAGAAGGCCUUCGGGUUGUAAAGCACUUUCAGUGGGGAAGAAAGCCUUGGGGCUAAUACCCUCGAGGAAGGACAUCACCCACAGAAGAAGCACCGGCUAACUCCGUGGCCAGCAGCCGCGGUAAUACGGAGGGUGCGAGCGUUAAUCGGAAUUACUGGGCGUAAAGCGCGCGUAGGCGGUCUGAUAAGCCGGUUGUGAAAGCCCCGGGCUCAACCUGGGAACGACAUCCGGAACUGUCAGGCUAGAGUGCAGGAGAGGAAGGUAGAAUUCCCGGUGUAGCGGUGAAAUGCGUAGAGAUCGGGAGGAAUACCAGUGGCGAAGGCGGCCUUCUGGACUGACACUGACGCUGAGGUGCGAAAGCGUGGGUAGCAAACAGGAUUAGAUACCCGAGUAGUC
rnacentral:rRNA from 1 species